rnacentral:rRNA from 1 species
UGUUGGGCUUACCAAGCGUACACGGUGGAUGCCCCGGCAGUCAGGAGGCGAUGAAGGGCGUAAGCACCUGCGAUAAGCGCCGGUAAGGCAUAUGAACCGUUAUAACCGGCGAUACCGAAUGGGGAAACCCAGUGAUUCGUCACACUAUCAUUGUUCGAACUAUAGGUUAUCGAGGGCGAACCGGGGAACUGGAAACAUCUAAGUACCCCUGAGGAAAAGAAAUCAACCGAGAUUCCGUGUAGCGGCGAUGAACGGGGAGGAGCCCAGAGCCUGAAUCAGCAUGUGUGUGUUAGUGGAAGCGUCUGAAAGGCGCGCGAUACAGGUGACAGCCCCGUACAAUAAAAGCGCAUGCUGUGAGCUCGAUGAGUAGGGCGGACACGUGUCCUACCGAAUAUGGGGGACCAUCCUCCAAGGCCAAAUACCCUGACUGACCGAUAGUGAACCAGUACCGUGAGGGAAAGGCGAAAGAACCCCGGCGAGGGGAGUGAAAAGAACCUGAAACCGUAAUGUACACAAGUAGGGGGAGCCCCACCACUGGGCCACAGUGGUGAACUCCACAUACGCACUUUGCUGCGAUACGGUUAACGGAGCGAAAGCGACGUUCAACCUCAAAAGAAGCAGAGGGGGGCUGGCGGUGGGGUGACUGCGUACCUUUUGUAUACGGGGUCAGCGACUUAUAUUCGUAAAGCAAGUGCUAACUGUAUAGGGGAGUUUUGAGUGGAAACUGAGUCUAACUGGGCGUUAAGUUGCAGGGUAUAGACCCGAAACCCGCGGAUUCCAGGCCAUGGGCAGGUUGAAGGUUGGGUAACAUCAACUGGAGGACCGAACCGACUAAUGCUGAAAAAUUAGCGGAUGACCUGUGGCUGGGGUGAAAGGCCAAUCAAACCGGGAGAUAGCUGGUUCUCCCCUGAAAGCUAUUUAGGUAGCGCCUCGUGAAUUAUCUCCGGGGUAGAGCACUGUUUCGGCUAGGGGCCAUCCCGGCUUACCAACCCGAUGCAAACUGCGCAUCGGCCGGAGAAUGUUAUCACGGGACACACGGCGGGUGCUAACGUCCGUCGUGAAGAGGGAACAACCCAGACCGCCAGCUAUGUCCCAAAGUCAUGGUUAAGUGGGAACGAUGUGGGAAGGCCCAGACAGCCGAUGUUGGCUUAGAAGCAGCCAUCAUUUAAAGAAAGCGUAAUAGCUCACCGGUCGAGCUCUGGCCUGCGCGGAAGAUGUAACGCCAAACCAUGCACCGAAAGGGCAGCGAACGUAAUCACUUAAAAGCGAUUCAGCGGAUGACGAUUGACGGAGCGAAGCGACGCUAAAAGCGUAUACAAAGUCGAGUCGGUUUAAGGAUUACGUUCGCUGGGUAGGGGAGCGUUCCUGCAAGCCUGCGAAGGUGGCCUGCUGGAGGUAUCAGAGGCGAAUGCUGACAUAAGUAACGAUAAGCGGGUGAAAAGCCCGCUCGCCGGAAGACCGCGUUCCCGUCCAACGUUAAUCGGGGCAGGGUGAGUCGACCUCAAGGCGAGGCCGAAAGGCGUAGUCGAUGGAACGGGUUAAUAUUCCCGCAUUCUUGGUGUUAUCACUGCGAAGGGGACGGAGAAGGCUAUGUUGGCCGGGCGACGGUUGUCCCGGUUUAAGCGCGUGUAGGUGUAAGGCAGUAAAUCCGGUUCACUUUAACACUGAGGCGUGACGACGAGACUACGGUGCUGAAGCAACAAAUGCCCUUAAGCCUGUGAAAGCCUCUAGCUAUCGGUGGUAACAUCACCGUACCCCCAAACCGACACAGGUGGUCAGGUAGAGAAUACCAAGGUGCUUGAGAGAACUCGGGUGAAGGAAUUCAGGGCAAAAUGGCACAGCCCGGGAGAAGGCACGCUGACAUGUAGGUGAAGUGAUUUACUCUCAUGGGAGCUGAAGUCAGUCGAAGAUACCAGCUGGCUGCAACUGCUUAUAUUGCAACACAGCACUGUGCAAACACGAAAGUGGACGUAUACGGUGUGACGCCCGCCCGGUGCCGGAAGGUUAAUUGAUGGGGUCAGCGCAAGCGAAGCUCCUGAUCGAAGCCCCGGCAAACGGCGGCCGUAACUAUAACGGUCCUAAGGUAUGAAAUUCUGUCGGGUAAGUUCCGACCUGCACGAAUGGCGUAAUGAUGGUCAGCCGUUCCACCCGAGACUCAGUGCGAAAUUGAACUCGCUGUGAAGAUGCAGUGUACCCGCGGCAAGCAUCUGAAAGACCCCGUGAACCUUUACUAUAGCUCGGACACUGAACAUUGAGCCUUGAUGUGUGGUGAGGGAUAUGGAGGCUUUGAAGCGUGGACGCCAGUCUGCGUGGAGCCGACCUUGAAAUACCACCCUUUAAUGUUUGAUGUUCUAACGUGGACCCGUUACCCGGGUUGCGGACAGUGUCUGGUGGUGGUGGAAGUUUGACUUCCGGGGCGGCUCUCCCAAAAGCGAGUAACGGAGGAGCGCGCUUGAAGGUUGGCUAAUCCUCGUCGGACAUCAGGAGGUUAGUGCAAUGGCAUAUGCCAGCCGAAUGCGAGCGCACGGCGCGAGCAGGUGCGAAAGCAGGUCGCAGUGCGAUCCGGUGGUUCUGAAUGGAAGGGCCAUCGUCAACGGAUAAAGGUACCCGGGGAUAACAGGGCUGAUACCGCCCAAGAGUUCAUAUCGACGGCGGUGUUUGGCACCUCGAUGUCGGCUCAUCACAUCCUGGGCUGAAGUGCAGGUUGUCCCGCGGUAUGGCUGUUCGCCAUUUAAAGUGGUACGAGCUGGGUUUAGAACGUCGUGAGACAGUUCGGUCCCUCAUUCGCCGUGGGCGCUGGAGAACUGAGGCCAGUUCCGGCACGAGGAAUGGGAAAGCGGACGCACUACUGGUGUUCGGGUUGUCACGCCAAUGGCACUGCCCGGUAGCGCUAAAUGCGUGUGGAAGAGAUAGUGCUGAAAGCAUCUAAGCACGAAACUUGCCCCUGAGAUGAGUUCUCCCUGAGACUUGUGAGUCUCCUGAAGGAACGUUGAAGACGACGACGAUAGGCCGGUGUGUAAGCGCAGCGAUGCUGAGCUAACCGUUUCAAUGAACCGUGAGGUUUUAAACC